UGGCGCUGCUGCUUGCUCUUGACGCAGUAGCUGCCAGUGGCUUUUUGCCCAAUUUUGGUUCGAGUGCACGAAAUGGGAGUUAUCACUAGAGGAAAAAUCCUCAUAGGUGGCUCAUCAAAGGUUGCCCUUAUACAACAAGAGCCACCUUUGAUGGUUAAAAAAAAUUAAAAAAAAAAUUAAAUCACUAAAAUCUUUCCCUCCCUUUUGUUAAGCGCAUCUUUAGACCUGCUUCAUUCUUCUCUCGCAGUCACUCCAUACUCACCUAUACUAGGCAAAUUUACUUCUUCCCUGUCGUGCACAGUCAGCCACUCCGGCCACCAUCACCACCGCCUACUUUUCAAGUGUCCUUUAGAAAUUACUUCCAUCUUAAAAAAAAGGAAAACAAUAAACACUUUUGAAACCAAAAAAAAUUCUCUCCUUCUCUUUCAAAGUCUCCUGCAAUUCUUCUCUGCUUAAUUCCCCGCACUCCCUCUCAAGCGCCCUUAUGUGCCGUCGUCAUCUUGAUAAAAACAUCACCGGCAUACAAGUUACCAGCGUCAACCACCACCGUCAAGUAUUAAUCGAAGUUCAUAGUUGAUUUAGGUCGGGAAUCUUCAUCCAGAUCUGCUCAUUCUGGGUUACACAAGGGCUUAUCUCCUCAAACUCAAUGAAUUUCCGCCGCGAACCUCGAAAUUCGGGAGAAAUAGCAGCAGCAUUCGUGACUCUUUUUCAACGGUGUCAGGACUAGCAACUGCAGACGUGGUAGAAAUCCCAAUACCAUAUGUUGUUGCAGAAGUUUCUAUUAAGCGUCUAGCCUCUCUAAACAAGCCUGAAAUCCCAAUACUUGUGUUGGGAUGUCGGUUUGCAAUUGCCAGUGGUGCAAUAUUUCCAGUAUUUAGUAUAAUAUUUGCUAGUGCGGAUUGAAAUGUUUUACAAGCCACCAGAUAUCUUGAGAAGGGAUUCAAAGUUCUGGUCCCUUAUGUUUGUUGUCAUUGGCUUAGCAACACUGAUAUCGUAACCAGCUAGAACCUAUUUCUUUUCUGUACCUGGGUGUAAGUUGAUAAGAAGGAUCAGAACUUUAUGUUUUGAGAGAGUACUGCACAUGGAGAUUGGCUGGUUUGGCGAGGCAGAAAAUUCAAGUGGUACAAUAGGUGCAAGGCUAUCUGCUGAUGCUGCAACUGAAUCAGUGGUUAUCUCCAAGUAAAGUUUACGCAGGGAUUUAGUGCUGAUGCAAAGAAGAAGUACGAGGAGGCUAGCCAAGUUGCCAACGAUGUAGUUGCGAGUUUCGUGUUUUCAGAGUUAUUCGAAGCGCAAUGACCACAUCUUUAUCUCAAGACAGGAGGAUCAAGAUUGCUGGUGGUGGUGAUCCUAUUUUCUCUAACAAUUUGUUUAAGGCAAG